GAGUUUGAUCCUGGCUCAGAACGAACGCGGGCGGCGCGUUUUAAGCAUGCAAGUCGAACGGUAGAGCGGUGCUUGCACCGCUUGAGAGUGGCGAACGGGUGAGUAACACGUAGGUAAUCUACCUCUGGGGACGGGGAUAGCCUGUGGAAACACAGGGUAAUACCGGAUACGCCCAGCGCUCGAUUAAGCUUGAAAGAGGUUUGGAAGGAGUUCCGGAUUUCUGGGUUUAAUCGAGUGCUGGGGAAAAGCGCUUUGGCGCUGUCCUGAGAUGAGCCUGCGGCUGAUUAGCUAGUUGGUAAGGUAACGGCCUACCAAGGCGACGAUCAGUAGCCGGCCUGAGAGGGUGAGCGGCCACACUGGGACUGAGAUACGGCCCAGACUCCUACGGGAGGCAGCAGCUAAGAAUCUUCUGCAAUGGACGCAAGUCUGACGGAGCGACGCCGCGUGAACGAUGAAGGCCUUACAGGUUGUAAAGUUCUUUUAUAGAGGACGAAUAUUUGGAGUAGUCUUGAUUGACGGUACUCUAUGAAUAAGGUCCGGCUAACUACGUGCCAGCAGCCGCGGUAAUACGUAGGGACCGAGCGUUGUUCGGAAUUAUUGGGCGUAAAGGGCGCGUAGGCGGUAGUAUAAGCCCGGUGUGAAAGACUUCAGCUUAACUGGAGGCUCGCGCUGGGAACUAUGUAGCUUGAGUAUAGGAGGGGGAGCUGGAAUUCCAGGUGUAGGGGUGAAAUCUGUAGAUAUCUGGAAGAACACCGGAGGCGAAGGCGAGCUCCUGGCCAUAUACUGACGNUGAGGCGCGAAAGCGUGGGGAGCGAACAGGAUUAGAUACCCUGGUAGUCCACGCUGUAAACGAUGUGCAAUAGGUGUCGGGUCACGAAGGCUCGGUGCCGGAGCGAACGUGUUAAGUGCACCGCCUGGGGAGUAUGCUCGCAAGGGUGAAACUCAAAGGAAUUGACGGGGGCCCGCACAAGCGGUGGAGCAUGUGGUUUAAUUCGAUGAUACGCGAGGAACCUUACCAGGGUUUGACAUGUACCUGAAUGUCGCAGAGAUGUGGCAGCUUCUUUGAAGCGGGUACACAGGUGCUGCAUGGUUGUCGUCAGCUCGUGUCGUGAGAUGUUGGGUUAAGUCCCGCAACGAGCGCAACCCCUGCUGUCUGUUGCCAUCCGAGCACUGAGCACUUAAUUUGAUUGAGUGCUGGGUGCUCGGGGGACUCAGGCGGAACUGCCGGUGACAAACCGGAGGAAGGUGGGGAUGACGUCAAAUCAUCAUGGCCCUUAUGUCCUGGGCUACACACGUGCUACAAUGGCCGGUACAAAGCGCUGCCUAACGGCGACGUUGAGCUAAUCGCAAAAAGCCGGUCUUAAGUCCGAAUUGGAGUCUGAAACUCGACUCCAUGAAGUUGGAAUCGCUAGUAAUCGCGCAUCACCAUGGCGCGGUGAAUAUGUUCCCGGGCCUUGUACACACCGCCCGUCACACCACCCGGAGUUGGGGGUACCCGAAGUCACUGGUCUAACCGAGCACUGAAUACUCAAAUUUUGUGUUGAGUACUCAGUGCUCGGAGGACGGUGCCGAAGUAUGUCUGGUAAGGAGGGUGAAGUCGUAAC
rnacentral:rRNA from 1 species